UCCAUAACCAACCACCCUUACACUAUUUUUUUACUACUAUAAAAAAUGGAAAUCCAUGGGCUAGCUAGCUGUCACAACAACACUUCAAAUCACAGCAAAUUAGCCAAGGAAGACUUGAUCACAAUAUGGCAACUGCAGCAGCUGGUAGAGGAGCACAUUCCAUGACUUUAUGUAUUUCAAGUAAGGUUAUUAAAUUUGAAGUUAAAUUUACUCCAUCGUAUUCUUCUUUCUUUUUAAAUUUUUUAAGGUAUGGAAACAUUUAGGUAAUUUCUGGUAAGUUACCAUACGAGUUUUAAUCAAAAUGCAAUUCUUGGAAAUGCAUGUUAUAUUUCAGAAAAAGUGAGACAGAAAUGAGAUUGUUCCAUUUGGUCGUUGAUGUAGAUACACCUGCCUGUUCUAGUCUGUUGUGAUCAUAAGUAACCAUCUUGAGAGGGGAUAUAAGUAAAGGGGAAAAUUUCACGUAAGAUCAACUGAGCUCCCUACUUUUUAAUUUUAUAGCCCAUAUUUUAAUUUACAACCAACUAGCCCAAAAAUAAUAGGCUAAGAUUCAACUUUCAAUUCCAAUAGGUUCUCGAAAUUAUUAUUUAAUUUUUAAAAAAUAUUGUUCAAGCUUGUAAGUUAAUUUUCAAAUCAGUAACUGUGACUCUAAUAUUAGUUCAACAAACCAAAUCCAUUUUGGUGGUGAAAAUUAGAUUUUUAACAAGCUUAAAUAUGUGGGUUUAAAUUUCGAAUUUGAUUUUGUGAGAAAUUUGGAGUGUGUGUUAUUUAGACUUGUUAGAAAUUGUAUAAGGAGGUUGUAUAUAAAAUUUGAAGUCAUUUAAUGGAGAUUUGGACUGGUUUUAAACAAGAAUUGCAAUUGAAAAUCGUGGAAGAUGUUCGUCUACAGACGCUUGUAUAAAGGUAUAUAAAAGUGUAUAAUAGUGUAUAAGAUGUGUUUAUACACUACUAUACAAGAUUUUACAUAAUUAUACAAAAAAUUGACUUCGUCUUCUUCCUUGCGUCUUUUCUGAAAUUUAACUCAAAUAUUGCUCAAAUAUAUUUUAAAUUACUUCAAAUUUAAAUUUUGAACUCCUUUUGACAUUUUCAAUCAAUUGGAACAACACCCAAUCCAAACAACUAAUAAACUCAAAAAAUUAUAUUUUCGAAAGCAAAACUUUGAAUGGCAUUCAAUUGUGGACUUCUACUCUUCAAUUUUCGUACAUUGUAACCAGGUGGCACAACGAGGGAAGCAGAAAAUACAUGGCCCCUUGAAGCAUAUGUAGAAGAUGUGAAAAGAAGAGAGAGAGUGAAAGUAAUGGUUGUGAGAACACGGAUUUAAUUCCAUAGCUUUUAGAAGCAAUGGUUGUAAGAACGCAAACUUUGAAUUUAGUAGUGCUUUCAAAAUAUGUACAAUAUGGGUUAGGUCGGGUAAAACUUAAAAACAUGAGCCAUUUUUUGUUAUUGUGUGAAGUCACGUAUAUUUUCUUGUAAUUCUUUCUAAGUAAAUCCCAAAAUAUAAG
rnacentral:lncRNA from 1 species